CAGGGCGUCCUGCGGGGUCCGCCUCCGUGUGCGGGGAGCGCGUCGUUCGUCCGAAGCCUGCCCGCUGGAGAGAGAGGAGCUGCCAGAACAGAAACAUGGAGGUGCUGAGCUCCAGUCAGCUGCUGUCACCGUUCCCAGCUUAAUUCACCACCAGUGAUCCCAUGGUUAACACAGUCCUUGGGGGUCUUUGUGCCCACAGCUCAGCCUUCCUUACCGUUACAGAAGUAAGAACUUUCUGGACAUUAUGUAUUUGGAUUUUUCUUUAAAUACCUUGAGCUUAUCAAUCUGUGUGCAUGUGAAGUAGUCCAUAUUAGAUACACUUUGCUAGUAGCUAAAACACUGCUAAGCUCAGAGGAAGCUACUUUUCUGAAUGCGUGUGUGCUCGUGCACUCCUGUCUUUAUUCCUCUCUUUUCUUUCCACAAGUAAUCCUAGUUGGAGUAGAUUUUAGUUAUUCCAUUAGCACAAGAAUAUCUAUCUGAACAAGGCCUCUUGGACAUGGGAGCUUUGACUCCCCUCUUCUGUGUACGUAAAGAGAGAUUGUUUUGACUUUCAAAGCAGUGUGAAACAGAAACAGAAAGCACUUUGUCCCAGCCAGCAAUAGUCAUUCCUUAUACACAGCUUUUUCAACAACACAUUUCAAAAUGCCUCCUCUUGUCUCAGGGCAAGCAGGAACUGACGCUGGGAACCAGUUAUCACAGCCCUUGGAACAAGCAUCCUGUUGAAGUACUGAUAUAGAGAAGUGAAGUUAGCAAGUUAAAGACUUGAGAGUAUUUUUGUUGGAGAAAGGAGUUGAUGAGCGAGUUCUAAUUGGGGAGUUUAUAAUAGAAUACAAUUAUAGAGUUGUGUUUUUUUUGUGAGUUCUGAGAAAACAAAGAUAUUUGAGAAGAGGACGCCCAACAACUGUAAAAUAAACAUGCUGAGAAGCAGAGAUUUGUAGGGACAGGCUGUUCAGCUACCCAAGGAAGGCUGCAACGACCACAACAGCUUCACGUUCACUGAAAACUUGAUUCUAAUUUGCAGCAUGUGAUUUACUGUUACAGAUAGGCAAAGUUCCAAUGAUAAUAACUUAAAAUAAUCCUUUGAAAAGCAGCAGUGUAUUAAAAAGAUGACAAUAAAGAUGAGCCACGAGGCCAAAAAUGGAAGUUUUUAAUAAUUGCUGAGCUGAGGCAUUACCAGAUAUAGCAAACAGGUAGGCAGGCCCAGGGAGAACAGACUCAGCAGGAGCCACGACAAAGCAGUUGGAAAAUAGAUAUGUGGAUGUUCCAAGGCAGCCCACUGAGAGUACUUACGUCACUGGGAGGGUAUCUCUUGAAUAUUCAACACACGUAGCAGGAAUAUUAUGAUCUCUUAAGAACAUUCUAUGGUUCUGUAACCUCUGGGUUAUAAAUGUUCAGCACUACAUUUUCUAAGCAAACUUCUCAUGUCCUCAGUUCACUUUUGACUGAACUAGUUUUGCUUAGCUUGUGUGUGUGUAUACAUAUGCGUGCGAG
rnacentral:lncRNA from 1 species